GAUAUUGAUAAAGAGGCGUUUCUGAAUAUAAGCGAGACCGAGGUGUUACGAAUAAUAUCUACGAUUGGAGGGAUUCGCUGUUUUCUUGAGAAAAGGAGAUUAUUUAUAGGCAGUAUUAAAUUCGAAAAAUUACAUGAAAUAUCAGACAACGAUAAUGAUAAUUAAUUGAAAAAGUUACAAUGUCAAAAUUAGCAAUUAUCAAACCCCUUGCAGUGAAAACAAAGUCUCUUAUCCGUAAAGAAAGAGAGUGUAAAGGAUCAAAUUUUAAGCAAAAAGAAAUAGGGUUUUUAAAAUCAUCUUGCAAUGAUGAUGCUCAAGCUUUGACAUCGUAUACACAAAAAAAUCGUCUAAACGAUGAAACAUUAAUUGAUAAUCAUCAUUACGAAAAUUGUCAUAGCAGUGGGAAUGUAUUAAACGAUUCAUCAGAUAAUAUAUCUAAUAUAUUGAGUACCGAAGAAGAUAAUAUAAGAGAGAGUUCUGCAUUAAGAGAAUGUGACAAUAUUAAAAAAAAUCGAAGAAAAGUAGUAACAAUCAGAAUAAGUUAAAUAAAAUUUCAUGCACUUUAAGUCAAUUUACAUCACUUCAAAAUACGGAUUUGAAAGAACUGUUACUAAACUUUACAGAUGGACAAAUUAUUAUAAAAUUUUAUGAGAAGCAUAACGUACUCGAUGAAGUCAAACGUAGAAAAUUGGUUGAACUUCUUGUUAUUCAAUUUAUGUUUCAAAAAUCUGAAAAUGGGAGAGAAAUGUAAUGGUUAAAUGUUAAUAGAACGUAUUUUUAUGUGUUAGGAUAGAUCGAUAUAAAUCGAUACAUUUAGUGUUCUCUCUUGCGUACUCAUAUGUACUAAAAGCACGUGAUAGCGACGUGAUGCUGCGAUGUCACGUAUACGAAAGUAUAAGUCAGUCGCGUAUGAGUACUUCGCAUUCGAGCACUGUAAUAACGCUACAAUAAAGUAUUGUCUAUUUUUACAUAUAUCACGCCGCAAAUUAAUUCAUCCCACUCGCAAUCCUGACAUUAUGUCAUAUUUAAAUUAAUAAUGUAUUUCAUAAAUGCGUUCUAAUGCUUGUAGAGUUUGUUUGUUAAAUGCCAAUUUUGACAUUUUAUCACAAAAAAUCAGGAACUUGUUUCCAAAUAAGUGACAGGCAUUUUAUUAUGUAUGUACCACCAAAAUCUGAAGAACCAUCUCAAAAAGUAUCAAAAGGAAAAUUACCAGACUUUUAUCGAAAUGUGUCUGUGAAGUUGGCAUAUCAUUUUCCAGCAGAUCAAAAAUAAAAGGCAGUUCUUGUCGCAUGCAGUCGAGUUCUAUAGUUCCUGAUACUUUUUAGUAAUAGUUCUGGUGAUUUUACCCAAAAAACAGUCGAUCGAAAAAAUGAUCUGCUAACUUCCCGUAGCAGAUCAUUUUCUAGCAAAUCAAAAAUAAAAAAGAGUUCUUGUCGCAUGCAGUC